rnacentral:rRNA from 1 species
AUUGAACGCUGGCGGCAGGCUUAACACAUGCACGUCGAACGAGUGGCGGACGGGUGAGUAAUGCUUGGGAAUCUAGCUUAUGGAGGGGGAUAACUACGGGAAACUGUAGCUAAUACCGCGUACCCUAGGAUGAACCCAUAUGGGAUUAGCUUGUAGGUGAGGUAACGGCUCACCUAGGCGACGAUCCCUAGCUGGUCUGAGAGGAUGACCAGCCACACUGGGACUGAGACACGGCCCAGACGCCUACGGGCGGCAGCAGUGGGGAAGAUUGCACGAUGGGCGCAAGCCUGAUGCAGCCAUGCCGCGUGUAUGAAGAAGGCCCUAGGGUUGUAAAGUACUUUCAGUCGGGAGGCGUUACCGACAGAAGAAGCACCGGCUAACUCCGUGCCAGCCGCCGCGGUAAUAC